rnacentral:rRNA from 1 species
UACGAAGGGGGCUAGCGUUGUUCGGAAUUACUGGGCGUAAAGCGCACGCAGGCGGCUCGUUAAAUUAGAAGUGAAAGCCCUGGGCUCAACCCGGGAAUUGCUUUUGAGACUGGCGAGCUUGAAUCCAGAAGAGGGUAGUGGAAUUCCAAGUGUAGAGGUGAAAUUCGUAGAUAUUUGGAAGAACACCAGUGGCGAAGGCGACUACCUGGUCUGGGAUUGACGCUCAUGUGCGAAAGCGUGGGGAG